rnacentral:rRNA from 1 species
UACGUAGGGACCAAGCGUUGUUCGGAAUCAUUGGGCGUAAAGCGCGCGUAGGUGGCUUCGUAAGUCCGUUGUGAAAGUCAAAGGCUCAACCUUUGAAUGCCGAUGGAUACUGCGAAGCUAGAGUACGGAAGAGGCGAGUGGAAUUCCUGGUGUAGCGGUGGAAUGCGCAGAUAUCAGGAGGAACACCAAUAGCGAAGGCAGCUCGCUGGGACGUUACUGACACUGAGGCGCGAAAGCGUGGGGAGCAAACAGG